GUGAAAUAAAUCACAUACCAAACAUACACCCCUUUUGUUUGAACGUGAACAUUUCUCCCAUUCCCUUUGUAAAAGAGCAUCGACUUCCCCCCAGAAGCGAUGCUCUUUU
rnacentral:sRNA from 16 species